UCCCUGGUGGUCCAGUGAUUAGAGCUCAGCACUGUCACUGCUGCUGCUCAGGGUUCAAUCCCUGGUCUGGGAA
rnacentral:tRNA from 1 species